GAGUUAUUUACAUCUGAUCAGUGGUCAAAGAUCAGUUAUAAACCCUCACCAUUACAGUUUCAGGAGUCCUCAUGUUGAUAAAGCUUCAAUAUUCUUCAGUGUGACAGAAAAUAGACUUCAGCAACAUGAGACACAAUUCAGUCUGUGGACUGCUCUUACUGUGUGUCCACUUCUACUUGAUUAACACAGGAACUUCAUCUCAUCAUGUGCUGCGUCGGGAGACCAGCCCCAAGAGGAAUCACUCUGCAGUUAUGGGAACGAAGAUGAUAGUCUCUCCUACCUGGUAUCUCAGUGUGGGUCAACUGUUACACACACACUGACAGAAAGAACAACAGUGAAAAGAUGGACCUGCAGCUGGUUUGGACCAAGUUGGGACCUGGAGAGAGGACCAAGAAGGUCCUGGUGAGCCAGCGAGCGUCUAAAGGUUUCUCCUAUACUCUGGGCCCUGUUACCCAUGAGCACCAGGGUGUUUACACCUGUGGUGCUGAUGGAACCUUACCUGAUGUUUAUGUUCAUGAUUGGCACGAAAUAGUUUGGGUGGCUGACGAUUCUCAGAGAGCUUCCUUAGACGUGAUCGGCCACAACAGGACACAGUUCCUCCAUAAUGAGACGUUCACUGUGAGCUGCCAGCUGCCCGACAAUAACACCCAGUGGAAGCUGAUGAGGUUUGACGAUUGGCUGGGAACUAUCACAGAGUGUCCCAAUCAAGUGUCUUCAGAACGCAGCCUGUCCUGCUCCGUCCGUUCUGGAUAUCCCUGGUCGGACGAAGUGUACUGGUGUGAGAAUCCAGCAGGGGAGAGGAGCAACGCCCUCAACAUUACCCAGACUGUUGUGACAGUGGUUAUGGAAAGUCCGUCACUUCCUGUGUUGGAGGGGGAGGACGUGAUGCUGCGCUGUUUACAUAGAAGCAGAAUCACCAAAGAAUUCACCUCCAACUUCGAAGCCUUCUACUACAAGAAUGGCCGUCCGAUCGAGUAAAAUAUUUCAUGACCUCAGUUCAUAAUUAUUUACUUUAAACUUUACAAUAUUCUUUAUAGGUUUGGUGCAAAAACUUAAACCAAAAGUUAUACAACUGGCAGCAACUUCUUUACACCCGAAAGCUGUGACCAAAACUGAUGAGGGACUCUACAAAUGUCGCCACUCGGUUGAAGGAGACUCUCAUGACAGCUGGAUUACUGUUAAAGGUAUGAACACACACACACAGAUGCAUCAAUGUACAACUACAUGCAUUUAUAUUCAUACAUACCUUGUUAUGUCUCUGUCAGCUCGGCCCGAUGAAGACCAGAAUAAGAAGAGCGACAUCACAGCGUCUUAGACGCUCUACCUUCAGGCCCAGUCACCUGCUCUCUGAUUGGUCAAUUAAACCCAACCUGCUCUCAUAACAGCAGACUUCAAGACUUUCUGUAUUUGUUGUUCUUUUAUUCAAUAAAUGCAUACAUGGAGGAA